rnacentral:sRNA from 1 species
CUCCCUCUCCGUCCUUGUUCAAGCCCCUGCCCCCAAUCCCCGAGCCCGCAGAAGGUGUGGGUUGGGUGGCAUUGGGUGAAGUCAGAAUAAACACUUUCAGAAAGCCCCUAGCUUCACGUCUUAGGAGUCUCCCAACGUUCUGGACUAGGGUUUUAUGACCCCAGCUUCUCUAUUUUCUAGAACUCCUGAGCUGAGAAAACCGGAGGGAGGAAGCCCUUGUCUAGAACCGUUUCAUGCGUCAAUUAUAACACGUCAGAGCCUGGGCCCUCCUUCUGGGGAAAGAUUAACAAAGCCUUAGUUCCCUUGCUCCUGGAUUAACCAGUGGUUAGUGGAGAUGCGAGAAAAGACGCUAAUGCUGGCAAGGCAAUAACAUGGACUUCCUCGCCUUAUUCCUCUUUUCAUCAGAGAUGGCAAAACCAGCAGCUCCUUCUGCCUCGAGUUGCUUACUGAACUGAAAGGAAAGGAGUGUACACAAAGAAGCCAUAGGAACAAAAGCCAGCUGGUGGUGCGCAGGUAUAUCUCCACAAGCGUCCCGCACCGUUAAGAGACAGAACCACGGGGACUUGCUGGCCUCAGUCUAGCUCCAAGUUCAGUCUCAAGGGAACAAGGUGCCAGGACUGUACUGGGCACCAGGCAGCCAGGAGAGAAAGGGAGAAGGCAGAUCCACAUUCUAUCCACACUGGGAGGCAGAGACUUCUGGAGGGCCACAAGAGCUCUCAGGGAAGGAGUGGAUUCCUCAGUGUUCCCCAAGAUAGACCUCUGAGCUACUGCAGUGUCUGGCACUGGGCCAUAAAAGACGAACUGGGAAGGGACCCCUAUUCCUUCACAUGAAGUAAAGCCAGGGCCCCACUCUGCUGUCUUCCAAGACUAGAAGCACAGCACAGGAAGCGAAGGUAAAACGGAGGGUGGAGCAAAGGAAGCUUGUGGGAGGAAACCAUGGGCAAGCACAUCAGUGCUAAGGCUACCCACUACAGAGGGUAGGAAGAAUGCUAGCCCAAACUCAAGGGGUUUUUUUGGGUUUUUUGUUUUGUUUUGUUUUGUUUUUUAGUUUAGUUUUGUUUUUGUUUGUUUUUUUUUUAAGUUUUCAUUUCACACCCAAUCCUGUGUUGAGUUUUGAGUCUCAAAGCCCCCCCCCCUUGAAUAAUAA